AGGAAAAGAAACCAACAGGGAUUGCCCCAGUAACGGCGAGUGAAGCGGCAACAGCUCACAUUGAAAUCUGGCCCUCGGGUCCGAGUUGUAAUUUGCAGAGGAUGCUUCGGGCGAGGUGCCUUCCGAGUUCCCUGGAACGGGACGCCAUAGAGGGUGAGAGCCCCGUCUGGUCGGACACCGAGCCCGUGUGAAGCUCCUUYGAAGAGUCGAGUAGUUUGGGAAUGCUGCUCAAAAUGGGAGGUAUAUGUCUUSUAAAGCUAAAUAUUGGCCAGAGACCGAUAGCGCACAAGUAGAGUGAUCGAAAGAUGAAAAGCACUUUGAAAAGAGGGUUAAAAAGUACGUGAAAUUGUUGAAAGGGAAGCGCCCAUGACCAGACUUGGGCCCGGUGAAUCAUCCGGCGUUCUCGCCGGUGCACUUUGCCGGGCACAGGCCAGCAUCAGUCUGGCGCGGGGGAUAAAGGCUUCGGGAAUGUGGCUCCCUCGGGAGUGUUAUAGCCCGUUGCGCAAUACCCUGCGCCGGACUGAGGUACGCGCAUCGCAAGGAUGCUGGCGUAAUGGUCAUCAGCGACCCGUCUUGAAACACGGACCAAGGAGUCGUCUUCGUAUGCGAGUGUUCGGGUGUCAAACCCCUACGCGGAAUGAAAGUGAACGCAGGUGAGAGCUUCGGCGCAUCAUCGACCGAUCCUGAUGUUCUCGGAUGGAUUUGAGUAAGAGCAUACGGGGCCGGACCCGAAAGAAGGUGAACUAUGCCUGUAUAGGGUGAAGCCAGAGGAAACUCUGGUGGAAGCUCGCAGCGGUUCUGACGUGCGAAUCGAUCGUCAAAUAUGGGCAUGGGGGCGAAAGACUAAUCGAACCUUCUAGUAGCUGGUUUCCGCCGAAAGUUUCCCCUUCAGGAUUA
rnacentral:rRNA from 1 species